GACGAACGCUGGCGGCGUGCUUAACACAUGCAAGUCGAACGGUGAUGCUCCAGCUUGCUGGAGUGGAUCAGUGGCGAACGGGUGAGUAACACGUGAGCAACCUGCCCCAGACUCUGGAAUAAGCGCUGGAAACGGCGUCUAAUACUGGAUACGAAACUGGCCCGCAUGGGCAUGGUUUGGAAAGUUUUUCGGUUUGGGAUGGGCUCGCGGCCUAUCAGCUUGUUGGUGAGGUAAUGGCUCACCAAGGCGACGACGGGUAGCCGGCCUGAGAGGGCGACCGGCCACACUGGGACUGAGACACGACCCAGACUCCUACGGGAGGCAGCAGUGGGGAAUAUUGCACAAUGGGCGAAAGCCUGAUGCAGCGACGCCGCGUGAGGGAUGACGGCCUUCGGGUUGUAAACCUCUUUCAGCAGGGAAGAAGCGAAAGUGACGGUACCUGCAGAAGAAGCACCGGCUAACUACGUG
rnacentral:rRNA from 1 species